UACGUAGGGUGCAAGCGUUGUCCGGAAUUACUGGGCGUAAAGCGUACGUAGGCGGAUUGUUAAGUGAGGGGUGAAAUCCCGAGGCUCAACCUCGGAACUGCCUUUCAUACUGGCAAUCUUGAGUCCGGGAGAGGUGAGUGGAACUCCUAGUGUAGAGGUGAAAUUCGUAGAUAUUAGGAAGAACACCAGUGGCGAAGGCGGCUCACUGGCCCGGAACUGACGCUGAGGUACGAAAGCGUGGGGAGCAAACAGG
rnacentral:rRNA from 1 species